CUCCUAAGGCUAAAUACUCUCUAGUGACCGAUAGUGAACCAGUACCGUGAGGGAAAGGUGAAAAGCACCCCGGAAGGGGAGUGAAAUAGAACCUGAAACCGUGUGCUUACAAGUAGUCAGAGCCCGUUAAUGGGUGAUGGCGUGCCUUUUGUAGAAUGAACCGGCGAGUUACGAUUUGAUGCAAGGUUAAGCAGUAAAUGUGGAGCCGUAGCGAAAGCGAGUCUGAAUAGGGCGUUUAGUAUUUGGUCGUAGACCCGAAACCAGGUGAUCUACCCUUGGUCAGGUUGAAGUUCAGGUAACACUGAAUGGAGGACCGAACCGACUUACGUUGAAAAGUGAGCGGAUGAACUGAGGGUAGCGGAGAAAUUCCAAUCGAACCUGGAGAUAGCUGGUUCUCUCCGAAAUAGCUUUAGGGCUAGCCUCAAGUGAUGAUUAUUGGAGGUAGAGCACUGUUUGGACGAGGGGCCCCUCUCGGGUUACCGAAUUCAGACAAACUCCGAAUGCCAAUUAAUUUAACUUGGGAGUCAGAACAUGGGUGAUAAGGUCCGUGUUCGAAAGGGAAACAGCCCAGACCACCAGCUAAGGUCCCAAAAUAUAUGUUAAGUGGAAAAGGAUGUGGCGUUGCCCAGACAACUAGGAUGUUGGCUUAGAAGCAGCCAUCAUUUAAAGAGUGCGUAAUAGCUCACUAGUCGAGUGACACUGCGCCGAAAAUGUACCGGGGCUAAACAUAUUACCGAAGCUGUGGAUUGUCCUUUGGACAAUGGUAGGAGAGCGUUCUAAGGGCGUUGAAGCAUGAUCGUAAGGACAUGUGGAGCGCUUAGAAGUGAGAAUGCCGGUGUGAGUAGCGAA
rnacentral:rRNA from 1 species